UACGAAGGGGGCGAGCGUUGUUCGGAAUUACUGGGCGUAAAGGGUGCGUAGGCGGUUCUUUAAGUCAGGGGUGAAAUCCUGGAGCUCAACUCCAGAACUGCCUUUGAUACUGAAGAUCUUGAGUUCGGGAGGGGUGAGUGGAACUGCGAGUGUAGAGGUGAAAUUCGUAGAUAUUCGCAAGAACACCAGUGGCGAAGGCGGCUCGCUGGCCCGAUACUGACGCUGAGGCACGAAAGCGUGGGGAGCAAACAGG
rnacentral:rRNA from 1 species